AUUGAACGCUGGCGGCAUGCCUUACACAUGCAAGUCGAACGGUAACAGGUCUUCGGAUGCUGACGAGUGGCGAACGGGUGAGUAAUACAUCGGAACGUGCCCGAUCGUGGGGGAUAACGCAGCGAAAGCUGUGCUAAUACCGCAUACGAUCUACGGAUGAAGGCGGGGGAUCGCAAGACCUCGCGCGGACGGAGCGGCCGAUGGCAGAUUAGGUAGUUGGUGGGAUAAAAGCUUACCAAGCCGACGAUCUGUAGCUGGUCUGAGAGGACGACCAGCCACACUGGGACUGAGACACGGCCCAGACUCCUACGGGAGGCAGCAGUGGGGAAUUUUGGACAAUGGGCGCAAGCCUGAUCCAGCCAUGCCGCGUGCAGGAUGAAGGCCUUCGGGUUGUAAACUGCUUUUGUACGGAACGAAAAAGCUCUCUCUAAUACAGGGGGUGAAUGACGGUACCGUAAGAAUAAGCACCGGCUAACUACGUG
rnacentral:rRNA from 1 species